CCCCAUGCACAAGAGCUGACUGUGGCUCUGGGAAGGCAUUUUACUCAUUUGCUUUCUUUUUUCUUAUAGUCUUCUUGUCCAGUUCUCAGGUGUUUACCACCUAUUUGAAUUCACCUGUGUGGGUACUGUGUUUGAGAAAGUCCCAGGACUUGACAGCCGUAUAGGCCUCAUAAAAGGCAGCUCUGUUCUGGGUUUGAAAGAACUGUCUUAAUGCUUUGUGGAAAUGCUUCUGGGGGUGCUGCAUGGAAUGAAGGACCGCAGUUAAAAGCUAGGGCUAGGACUUGGAGGAUGUGUAGGCAAACGGAAGGAGAGCCGGGGGAAGAAAAGCCGAAAUGGAUUCAUUCUCCGUCCUGGCUGGAGGAGGAGAGGAGCGGGGACGUGCGGGCUGCCUGCAGCUGCCUCUGUCCGGUGAGAAGUGCUCCCAGCCCCGCGGCUGACUCGGGCUCAGGAGUCCGCGCGGACUUUCGCUCUAAGCUGCCAAUCAAACCGCUAACCGCCACCACCCUGCGCCGGCACCGACAUGAGCUGAGGCACUGUGUUGUGCCAGAGCCACCUCUGCAGACCCCUCGGCCACCUCAGCCCUGAGCAUUGGCUGAACACAUCUGGAUAUUUCUAUUCAGCUCUGCAAACAGACAGAGAUACUCCAAGACUGCGUGUGAGACCAGAUGACGUGAAACUUUCUACCAUUAAACCCCUGUUCAGCUGUAGUCCAGAAGCGGGCAGCCCACAGCAGCUUGGGGAUGCUGACAGAAGAAGUCGAAAUGUUUUCAGCCAAACCGAUUUCUUGCCGGCAGCUUCGGAUGCUUUAGCUGGAACCAGAGCAGCCCAAGGAGCGAAGCAAACAAUUAAAACAUUUACAUGUUUGCUUCUUGAUAGACAUCUCUACGAGGCGAGAUUCUAUGAAGCCUGAGUGACUUCAGAAGGAGAAACUUAUUAGAAGAAAUCUUUGCCAUUACAUGUAUAGAAGAAUUAUGAUGGUGGUGCCCUGCUGUUGAUCAGUCAAAUCUGUGGUGGGCCUAGAGAUAAGUCCUGUAAGUGUGGUGUACUGUAAAACAGCGGCUCCCAUUCAUUAGUGGCUUGUGUGUAAUAAACCACCCAAUGGAGGGGGAUGGGGAAGAGAGGGAAAGAGCAGCUGCAGUGUGCAGGAACAAACAACACAACUCAUUCUUGGGAGCCAAAACUUUCUAAUUUGCUGCUGGGCUGCUGGGAGCACUCAAAUUCUUUCUGAUAAUGUGCUCGUGCCCUCGGUGUCUCUCUCUGUGUUUCUGCUCUCCAGAAUCUGGAAUAGUUUCACUCCAAACAACAAACGUGGACGCUGCUGAACAGGGAGGAGGAGGGGAACACAGCCACCCAGUGUUUGCAGACUCCAGCACAGCAAAGUGGUGGACUCGAGGCAAGUUCUGCCAUGGAAUGGCUGCUGCACGUAUCUGCUUGUGCAGUGGGUAAACAAGGCAUCACAUGGGCUGCAGGCUGAGCACGAGGCGCGUGGCUGACCUAUACGUGUAUGAGGCAUGCUGGAGGAACAGCGUAUUCCAAACGUUGUUAGAGCCUGGUGGGAUAUUCGGGAACUUCCCUCAAAAAGCUCAAACAAAACAAACGUCAAAUUGAUUGUAACUGAAAAAUUAUUUGGCUUAAUUUCUCCUGUUUUUGCACAAGUUCCAGUGAGUAUUUACAUAAGCGUAUUUCUACAUUGCCUUGCAUUGGAAAUGGCUUGUAAGUAUGUUCAUCAAGAUGUCAGUCAAUUAUAACUUGUUGCACCUGUUUGGACCUCAGUAGUUACUAAUUGUAACUGUGGAUUUUCAGCUGUGACUGUGCUGGUGCUCAGCCCCAGAUCUGACUGCCCAUAGGACAAUAUUUCGAACUAGAAAUUAAAAUCACUGUGUGUGUUUCACAACUGCUCUCAUAGACCAAACCUUUGUGCUAGAGCUUGUACUGUCACGAGAAAGGGAAAUUAAUUUUGGAUUGAUGCUGCUCAGAAGGACCAUUAUACCCUUGCAGGAUCACACUGACUGCUUUUUCAGUGAUGUGCCAGGCUGUGAUGGUGCUUGGACUGUCUCCUAACAUUUCUAUAGACAAGGGCUACUUAAACAGCAACUUCAGGCUUGGGCCAAACUGCAAGUGCUCUUUAUGUAGACAGGCGAAGUGUCAGACACAAAGUUUUUCACUUUAGUGCAGGAGAUCCACUCGCUUUCUCUUCCCUGACCUGGAGACCCGUGCCAGGCAUUGCCUGAGUCUUAACCCUUCAACAGGAGGUGUCUCUCUGACACCUUGGCCAUAGUACCUAAUGGGUGCAGGUAAUGGGUGGCCAGUCAGACCUGGCCAAAUCCUGUGCUAGAUCUGAGCACAAACCAGUUCUACCAAAGGUUUAGGCAGUGAAGGAGCUGAAACUGGCUGCUUACCUGCCAAGCUUUUGUUCUUACACUUGGGACAUUGCAAAUAGCUGAGAAGUCCUGAAGUUUUUGUGUCUAACCAGAUGAAACUGGGGGAAAUGAAAUAUUUCUUACCAAACUGAGGCAAAAUGUGCCUUACUGAUCUAUAAGGCAGUCUAAUAAUUUUGGGUUCAAAGAUGUCUAGUGUUGAAUUAUUAAAUGACUCAAUCUGGUUUUCUUUUAGAAAGGGUGAGUUAGUGAUACUAAUCUAUCAGCUGGAUCCAAACUAUUACAAAAACUGUCCUAGAAAAUAGAAUGAGAAAUAGACCAAAAACUCAGAACUCAGUCUUGCAAAUAAAAUAACAUUUUGUGACUGGUUGUUCACUAAUACGUGUGAAAGAAGGGCUACAUGUUACAUGUCUUUUGUUGUUGACAGUGUGCCCAAUGCUGUAUGAUAAAUGUUUGAAUAGUAUCACCUUCUGUUCUGCCUCCUUCACCUACAGGAGCAGCUGUGGUGGUGAAGGGGCAGCGUGAGGCACGGCCAGCCCUGACUUCCUGCAGGUGUCCAUCCGGCACCUGAACCUCGGGCAGCACCGCGUCUGUGUCCUGUGCCUGGAACCAUGCAAGAACAAAGUUUGUUCUAAACGUGAAUUUAAUGUGCUUUCAGGUUUGACAGCCUCUUUUAAAAGGAAACGUUUAAGUUGAGCGAAAGGCACAUUUGUCUCUCCAAAUAAAUGGAAUUAUGGUUCAAAGAUCUGACUUAAUCCCGAGGCUCUUGCACUGUGCAGUAAGUAGGAAAGAAAGGGGAUUGCUCCGAGGAGCAGGGGUUAGCAGGAUCAGGGGCUGUUUUAUAUCAUCUCAUUUUCCUUCUGGUAUUUAAUAUACUUUCUUCUCAACUUGCACUGGCUGCUUGUAAAAAGACCCAGCAGUAUCAUAGAUUAACUAAUGGCAAAUAAACUAUUAAUUGAAACUAAUGAAGGAUGGUACAGGGAGUUCCCAUCCAGCUUUCCUGCUAGGAAAAUUUGAUUAUUGUUAAGCAAACAAAAAUGCCAUUCUUCCAGAUGUAUUCUCUCAUAUGGUUUCAUCCUUUUUCAGUUCAUUUCAGGACUUUUCUCAAGUGCAUUUUACUUGUUAUAACUAUUUGCUCUUUUUCUACUUAAAAAAAAGAAAGUAUAUACAAGUGUGUUUUAAAAUCUACAUUGACAUUUCAGUGAUUUGAAGGAAGAUGUUUACACAGUAACAGUGCCGUCUAUAUUUAUUGUAUCUCUGCAAACAAAAGUUCUGAUAAGAUUAAAAUAUGUAUGUGAUGGG